GACGAACGCUGGCGGCGUGCUUAACACAUGCAAGUCGAACGGAAAGGCCCUGCUUGCAGGGUACUCGAGUGGCGAACGGGUGAGUAACACGUGGGUGAUCUGCCCUGCACUUCGGGAUAAGCCUGGGAAACUGGGUCUAAUACCGGAUAGGAGCCAUUAUUAGUGUGAUGGUUGGAAAGUUUUUUCGGUGUAGGAUGAGCUCGCGGCCUAUUAGCUUGUUGGUGGGGUAAUGGCCUACCAAGGCGGCGACGGGUAGCCGGCCUGAGCGGGUGGACGGCCACAUUGGGACUGAGAUACGGCCCAGCCUCCUACGGGGGGCAGCAGGGGGGAAUAUUGCUCAAUGGGCGCGAGCCUGAUGCAGCGACGCCGCGUGGGGGAUGACGGCCUUCGGGUUGUAAACUCCUUUCGCUAGGGACGAAGCUUUUUGUGACGGUACCUAGAUAAGAAGCACCGGCUAACUACGUG
rnacentral:rRNA from 1 species